GUGCCAGCCGCCGCGGUAAUACGAGGGGUGCAAGCGUUGUCCGGAAUCAUUGGGCGUAAAGGGCAUGUACGUGUUCUGGUAAAUCUUUUGUUAAAGACCUCAGCUUAACUGAGGAAAUGCAGAGGAAACUACCGGAAUAGAGUUUGGAAGAGGAAAGCGGAAUUCCUGGUGUAGCGGUGACAUGCGUAGAUAUCAGGAGGAACACCAAAGGCGAAGGCAGCUUUCUGGUCCAAUACUGACGCUGAAAUGCGAAAGCGUGGGGAGCAAACAGGAUUAGAUACCCUGGUAGUCCACGCCGUAAACGAUGAGUACUUGGU
rnacentral:rRNA from 1 species